rnacentral:pre_miRNA from 9 species
ACGUUGCUAGAUAUAUUCCGAGGGGGAAAAGUUAUGACGAUUAUGACAAAUUGAACCAUAAGCGUAUAGCUUUUCCCCUUUGGCGUAUGUCACUUCGACA